rnacentral:rRNA from 1 species
UACGUAGGAGGCAAGCGUUGUCCGGAUUUACUGGGCGUAAAGAGCGCGCAGGCGGUCGAGUAAGUCGAAUGUGAAAGCCCCCGGCUUAACUGGGGAGGGUCAUUCGAUACUGUUCGACUUGAAGGCAGGAGAGGGCAACAGAAUUCCCGGUGUAGUGGUGAAAUGCGUAGAUAUCGGGAGGAAUACCAGUGGCGAAGGCGGCUGCCUGGCCUGUUCUUGACGCUGAGGCGCGAAAGCUAGGGGAGCAAACGGG